rnacentral:rRNA from 1 species
AUUGAACGCUGGCGGCAGGCCUAACACAUGCAAGUCGAACGAGUGGCGGACGGGUGAGUAAUGUCUGGGAAACUGCCUGAUGGAGGGGGAUAACUACUGGAAACGGUAGCUAAUACCGCAUACCAUCGGAUGUGCCCAGAUGGGAUUAGCUAGUAGGUGGGGUAACGGCUCACCUAGGCGACGAUCCCUCGCUGGGCGUAGAGGAUGACCAGCCACACGGGAACUGAUAAACGGUCCAGACUCCUACGGGAGGCAGCAGUGGGGAAUAUUGCACAAUGGGCGCAAGCCUGAUGCGGCCAUGCCGCGUGGAUGAAGAAGGCCUUCGGGUGGUAAAGUACUUUCAGCGGGGAGGCGUUACCCGCAGAAGAAGCGCCGGCUAACUCCGUGCCAGCAGCCGCGGUAAUUC